rnacentral:rRNA from 1 species
UACAGAGGUCUCAAGCGUUGUCCGGAUUUAUUGGGCGUAAAGAGCGUGUAGGCGGCUUUACAGGUCCGUUGUGAAAACUCGAGGCUCAACCUCGAGACGCCGGUGGAAACCGUAAAGCUAGAGUCCGGAAGAGGAGAGUGGAAUUCCUGGUGUAGCGGUGAAAUGCGCAGAUAUCAGGAAGAACACCCGUGGCGAAGGCGGCUCUCUGGGACGGUACUGACGCUGAGACGCGAAAGCGUGGGGAGCGAACAGG